CAUUUUUUUGUGCUUGUUCUGUAGAAUUCUGUGGAUAUCUAAAUGCUUAUAGUUGGCCGUAGGUUUGAUUUUUUGGUUGUGCUCGAGCAUUAAGUUUGUCACUAGCUGACGAGGCUCAGGUUGAAAAGAUCAGAAGACAAUCACUGAAAUUAAAAUCACUUAAGGAUCUGAGUUUAAGGGAUCAGUUUUCAGUAAUUAAGAGAAAUAGUCCAGCUAUAACAGAAAUAGAUCACCAUGAGCAUAUGAUUACACCCUUUCAACCUACUAGUGAUAAUAUACUUAC